UACCAGCACCCCGAGUGGUCGGGACGAUUAUUGGGCCUAAAGCAGCCGUAGCCGGUUCUACAAGUCUUCCGUUAAAUCCACCUGCUUAACAGAUGGGCUGCGGAGGAUACUAUGGAGCUAGGAGGCGGGAGAGGCAAGCGGUACUUAGUGGGUAGGGGUAAAAUCCGUUGAUCCAUUGAAGACCACCAGUGGCGAAGGCGGCUUGCCAGAACGCACUCGACGGUGAGGGAUGAAAGCUGGGGGAGCAAACCGG
rnacentral:rRNA from 1 species